UUUACCGGAUUAAAGUAUUUAAUUUAAAAUUCUCAGGAGUAAUUACUCUAUAUAUUAUUUUUCAUAUUCUGCUUUACAAUUAUAAGUUCAUAACCGGGAUCUAAAUUAGCUCGGUUUCUUUUAACCAUAUUUUAUGAUUCAACUGUAUCGGAGUAUAAGAUUUUUUUGUAGGUACUCACUGUAGAUGAAUGACAGAAACAUCUCAGCCAGACAGCACUUAUCUCUCAUCUGACAACCAGCAACAACAUUAAAAAAAAAAAAAAAUUUUUUAUUAAAGGCUUUUCUUAAUUCUUUAGAUAUGUGUACGUUAAGUCAAAUGGGAAGUAAUUAGUUGCAAGAAAAACUUUAAAAAACAUUAUUAUUUUGAGGUUUAAUUUAUCUUUGAGGCCCUUAUGUAAUAUUUUUGUGUCUUCCAAAAUAUAUUUGACCAGGGAGGAUUGCAUAUUUGAUAAUAAUUUUGAAUGUAUACUUUUGUUGCUUAAUAGAUAUGAUCAAUAUAAAGCUUAUAUGACUUUAUUAUAAUUCUUGCAAAUAUAUAUGAUUAGAGUGAAUGAGAAAUUUUAAGCUUCAAUGAAAGCAAUUAUUGAAAUUUCUUAAGUACUAUUGAAUAAUUUGUAGAAAUUUUUUUAUUAAAGAUAAAAAAUAAAAAUUUAGUACGAGUUCACAUGCAUAAGUAAUUACGAUGGCUGAAUAUAAGGAUUUUUUUUUUAUAAUAAAUUAUGAAAAAUAUUUAUUUUCACCAAACUCGCUUUUGAGUUUUAUUUACCGAAAUGCAUAUUUUUUUGGUAAUUAAGGCAAGUUCGUUGCACUCUCGACGAACUCUAGAUAAAUUAUAGAGUUCGCCGCAUUCCCCGGCAAACUUUGAUUUAUACAGAGUUCGCUGCACACCCUGGCGAACUCUAGGCAAAGUUGCCACCAUAAAUGCCAGUUAGAGAAUGAAGCUGAGCAUCUGACUUUGUUCUCCAUAAUCAUUUUGGUUGUUGAUCAUUUCUUUUUUUUUUUUUUUACAAUGGCAAGAAAUCUACUGUUAUCCAUUCAUUACGAUGGAGAAAUGGUGUAUGAUGAAGAAGGUUCUAUCGUUUUUAGAUUGAACCAACCGAUAUUUACCUAUUUGACAGUGGAAAUCAACAGCUUAGAGUUGUUACAGAAUCUGAUAUUAUUUUCCGUGGGGAUGCAAGAGACAAAGAAGGUGAAGAAAAUUUACUAUAGAUAUCCAACCGAAAUAGGUGGUAGUUUAAUUUAUAAAAGGUAUUGUCUGCAUGACGACGAGGAUGUAUGUCUUAAUGUCUUAUACGGUCUUGGCACAACCGCUGGACAAAUGUUCAUCUGUUAGAGUUAUCUGUGUUCCUCGUCAAUUUGGGUGGCCGAGGAUCGUCUGUGGAUACUGUCGACGAUAGUCCGUUGAGUGGGCCUGUUAGACGAAAUAUCAUACGGACGAUGGUGGAUCUGAAUAUGGCUCCUGAAGGUGUACAAUCAACCUGUUUCCAAUACACAAGUUGGUGUUAUUAUUCAAUUUUCAUAUGCAAAACACAUAAUAUAAAGUAAACUGGCUACACUUAAAUAUUUAUGACUUA